CUGAAGAUGAAGGUCCUCUGGAUUGUAACUUCUUUAUCUGGGACGAAAAAGGGAAUCUUUCCCACUUGACGGUACCAGAGGAAUAAGCACCGGCUAACUCCGUGCCAGCAGCCGCGGUAAUACGGAGGGUGCAAGCGUUAUCCGGGUUUACUGGGUUUAAAGGGUGCGUAGGUGGGCAGGUAAGUCAGUGGUGAAAUCUUCGAGCUUAACUCGGAAACUGCCAUUGAUACUAUCUGUCUUGAAUAUCCUGGAGGUGAGCGGAAUAUGUCAUGUAGCGGUGAAAUGCUUAGAUAUGACAUAGAACACCAAUUGCGAAGGCAGCUCGCUACGGGAAGAUUGACACUGAGGCACGAAAGCGUGGGGAUCAAACAGGAUUAGAUACCCUGGUAGUCCACGCCCUAAACGAUGGAUACUCGACAUGUGCGAUACACUGUAUGUGUCUGAGCGAAAGCAUUAAGUAUCCCACCUGGGAAGUACGAGCGCAAGGUUGAAACUCAAAGGAAUUGACGGGGGUCCG
rnacentral:rRNA from 1 species